ACUAGCGAAUCCAGCUUCAUGGAGUCGGGUUGCAGACUCCAAUCCGAACUGAGAGAGGUUUUGGGGAUUGGCAUCCCGUCGCCGGGUAGCAGCCUUCUGUACCUCCCAUUGUAACACGUGUGUAGCCCCGGACGUAAGGGCCGUGCUGAUUUGACGUCAUCCCCACCUUCCUCACAUCUUACGAUGGCAGUCCCGCUAGAGUCCUCAGCAUGACCUGUUAGUAACUAACGGCAAGGGUUGCGCUCGUUAUGGCACUUAAGCCGACACCUCACGGCACGAGCUGACGACAACCAUGCAGCACCUUCACACUGGUCCGAAGAAAAGCCAAUCUCUUGGCCUGUCCAGUGCAAUUUAAGCCCGGGUAAGGUUCCUCGCGUAUCAUCGAAUUAAACCACAUGUUCCUCCGCUUGUGCGGGCCCCCGUCAAUUCCUUUGAGUUUCACCGUUGCCGGCGUACUCCCCAGGUGGAAUACUUAAUGCUUUC
rnacentral:rRNA from 1 species